rnacentral:rRNA from 1 species
CCUACGGGUGGCAGCAGUGGGGAAUAUUGGACAAUGGGGGGAACCCUGAUCCAGCCAUGCCGCGUGUGUGAAGAAGGCCCUCGGGUUGUAAAGCACUUUCAGUGAGGAAGAACGCCUGGUGGUUAAUACCCAUCAGGAAAGACAUCACUCACAGAAGAAGCACCGGCUAACUCCGUGCCAGCAGCCGCGGUAAUACGGAGGGUGCGAGCGUUAAUCGGAAUUACUGGGCGUAAAGCGCGCGUAGGUGGCUUGAUAAGCCGGUUGUGAAAGCCCCGGGCUCAACCUGGGAACGGCAUCCGGAACUGCCAAGCUAGAGUGCAGGAGAGGAAGGUAGAAUUCCCGGUGUAGCGGUGAAAUGCGUAGAGAUCGGGAGGAAUACCAGUGGCGAAGGCGGCCUUCUGGACUGACACUGACACUGAGGUGCGAAAGCGUGGGUAGCAAACAGGAUUAGAUACCCCAGUAGUC